rnacentral:lncRNA from 1 species
GUUCCUACCAGCUCACAAGUUCAUUAUAUGUUUCACUUCACAUUUUACUUGCUUACUCACUGUGUUGUGAACGGUGAACUUCUUGUUUUCCUUCUAAACAGAAUGAAAAUGAUCCGUUGGCUUCCCCUGAUGAUUGCAGUUACUCUGUCAAACCAUGUGAGAGGGUCUGUUGCAGUGCAGUGGUCCAUGUCCAUCCCAGC